AAUAGGUUGGCAGAAUAGUGCCACCGAUUUAGGAUCGGUUCAUGGAAAACUUCCACCUAUUAC
rnacentral:tRNA from 1 species